rnacentral:tRNA from 1 species
GGGGAUAGCUCAAUGGUAGAGCACGUGCUGAACAUGCACAAGGUCCUGGGUUCAAUCCCCAGUACCCCA